GGGGAUUUGUAGCUCACUGGCAGAGCAUUCGCUUUGCAUGGAGAAGGUCCAAGGUUCGAUCCCUGAUGUCUCCA